GAAUCAAUCAUUGAAAUCACCCUAUGGAAUUUGCCUUUGUAUUCCAAUUUGGUUCCAGAAUGGAAUAAGAAGACUUAAAGACUAGUUGAGCAAAGCCAUGUAGGGCCUGCGAACUACCCAUCCAGGGCUCCAAGGGAAGCAGGCACAGACGAUUGAGUUGGGAGCUGAGUGUGAUCGGGAGAGUUGUGGGAAGUCAAGUUUGGAUGUUCUGGAGGAGUCUGCCGAGGGAUGCUGACAGAGGCAGAGCCUUUGUGAAGUUCACUGGACCAAUUUCAGUAGCCAGGAGCAAUGAAAGCCUGCAAAUUUGGAGACGUCUUCAUGGAGAAUUGAGCCCUCCUUGGCAUAGCAACAUUGAAGCCCUCAACAUUUGGGCCAGUAUGGGAAUGGCAGAUAGACUAAGGAGGCCCACAUAUUUGGACAUAUUUUUAACAAUCCCAUGAACACACUUGCCUUGCCAUCACGGGCAGGACACUAAAACGCUCUCAUUGCCCUUCGUCUUCAAGAAAAGACAUCUGAACUCUUCAUUUGCAGACGAGUGCAGACCCAGUACAUCAAAGACUACUUUCUUCUAAUAAUGAAAGGCUAUAAUUAGUGAGAUGGUGUUUUCAUUUUCCAGCUGGGAUAGCUUUUACUAGCCUGAGUAAAUGUAAAGCUUCUUUGAAAUGUGUUCAUUGUGAAUAAAAUCCCCGAAAAGCCUUUUCGAGACCCUCA
rnacentral:lncRNA from 1 species